UACAUGGGGUGCAAACGUUGCUCGGAAUUAUUGGGCGUAAAGCGCACGUAGGCGGUUUGUUAAGUCGGAUGUGAAAUCCCUCGGCUCAACUGAGGAAGUGCAUCCGAAACUGGCAGGCUUGAGUACUAAAGAGGGUCGCGGAAUUCCCGGUGUAGAGGUGAAAUUCGUAGAUAUCGGGAGGAACACCGGUGGCGAAGGCGGCUCUCUGGACCGAGACUGACGCUGAGGCGCGAAAGCGUGGGGAGCAAACAGG
rnacentral:rRNA from 1 species